UAGGGAAUCUUCGGCAAUGGACGAAAGUCUGACCGAGCAACGCCGCGUGAGUGAAGAAGGUUUUCGGAUCGUAAAACUCUGUUGUUAGAGAAGAACAAGGACGUUAGUAACUGAACGUCCCCUGACGGUAUCUAACCAGAAAGCCACGGCUAACUACGUGCCAGCAGCCGCGGUAAUACGUAGGUGGCAAGCGUUGUCCGGAUUUAUUGGGCGUAAAGCGAGCGCAGGCGGUUUCUUACGUCUGAUGUGAAAGCCCCCGGCUCAACCGGGGAGGGUCAUUGGAAACAGGGAGACGUGAGUGCAGAAGAGGAGAGUGGAAUUCCAUGUGUAGCGGUGAAAUGCGUAGUUAUAAGGAGGAACACCAGUGGCGGAGGCGGCUCUCUGGUCUGUAACUGACGCUGAGGGUAGAAAGCGUGGGGAGCAAACAGG
rnacentral:rRNA from 1 species